AGUGAACGCUGGCGGUAGGCCUAACACAUGCAAGUCGAACGGCAGCACAGUAAGAGCUUGCUCUUACGGGUGGCGAGUGGCGUACGGGUGAGGAAUACAUCGGAAUCUACUUUUUUGUGGGGGAUAACGUAGGGAAACUUACGCUAAUACCGCAUACGACCUACGGGUGAAAGCAGGGGAUCUUCGGACCUUGCGCGAUUGAAUGAGCCGAUGUCGGAUUAGCUAGUUGGCGGGGUAAAGGCCCACCAAGGCGACGAUCCGUAGCUGGUCUGAGAGGAUGAUCAGCCACACUGGAACUGAGACACGGUCCAGACUCCUACGGGAGGCAGCAGUGGGGAAUAUUGGACAAUGGGCGCAAGCCUGAUCCAGCCAUACCGCGUGGGUGAAGAAGGCCUUCGGGUUGUAAAGCCCUUUUGUUGGGAAAGAAAAGCAGCAGGUUAAUACCCCGCUGUUCUGACGGUACCCAAAGAAUAAGCACCGGCUAACUUCGUG
rnacentral:rRNA from 1 species